GUUACUUGUCCUGUUUCCUGCCUGCCUGUGAGGAAGUAGCCGAGCCACAGAGGAGCCUGGCCGGGGCCGCAGGGCGCGCACCAGGAUUUUAUAAAGCUGAGGAUGUCGGAGACCUCCACGCCCGCCUUUGGAGGCAGGAGAGCGGUGCCACCCAACACCUCCAACGCUGAGGAAGAUGACCUCCCCACGGUGGAGCUGCAGGGCCUGGUGCCCCGGGGCGUCAAUCUGCAAGCUGGCUUGCAUCGUGCAAUGUCGUGUGUGCUGUGACUUCAAUACUCCACAGUCACAUUCCAGCUUCCAGAAUCUUGGAAUCAGGAACAAGUAAGUCACUAACGGGAGAGCGCGGUCCCACCUGGCCUCAGAGAGCUCGUCCCCAGAGACCAUUUAAGGCUAGAGAAGCAUCCUAGGAAAUAAAUCAUUGAAAAUAAACACAACUUUGAAGGAAACGGAUUCUCACCUUAGCAAAGGACACCACGCCAUCUCCUGUGGAUACUUUCGGGGUGGAGGUGAUGAUGUCGGCAUUGUGUUGUGGGCAAGCCCCGGGGGCAGAGGCAGCGUGGGAAGGAGGGCCUUGUGUCCUGUCUCCCCACACAGCACCUGGGAUUUCGGCAGAGCCCCCAGGACAGAGAAGCUACAGCCAGGAGUUGACUUUACAAGGGAGUCAGAGAAACAUCAGGAUACCUGCAACAUUUUGUGGGGUUCUAGAGGCAAGGGGCACAAGGUCAAGAGGGCAGGACACAGCAUGGCUUGUUCCAUGCACGGGGCACCCAGCACAAAGGGGAGGGAAGGCUGGCCAGGCCUGGGCUCGGGCGCCACACCCCCCCACAGCAGCCAGACGCUCUGCCUGCACGGAGCUUCAGGAGUUUGGACAGCAGCCCCAGGAUUGGGGACUGAGGGUAAAACAGGAAAGAACUGCUCUUGAGCCGACAGGAGGCUUCCAGCAAUACCGGGUAGACAGCAAGGAGGGCCUACAGAGAUUCCCUAACAUGCAAGUGGGGUUAGAAGUCGGUGAUAUUUAACAAAGUUAUUAUUGCUGAAGUGUCUUCAUAUGAACCCAUAGGACUGUUGUUGGCACGUAAGAAAUUCCAGUGCCCCUGACGAACAGGCUUUCCCUCCCCCAGAGCCACACCAGAAUGGGGACCCCGGUUCCUUACCCAGCACACCACCCCAGCUCCGUCUGUUCCCCCCACUGCCAUCUGGAAGUCCAUGUGGCUCUACUUGUGACGCCUGCACUGUCCCUAUAUCACUGUUUUUCCCUCUGCUCCUGUUGCAAAUAGAGCCUCUUCCUCACUGUGCUCUGCACCAUAAGCACUGUCCAUAUUUUGGGCGGGGGCACACUUCCUGGCCCCACAGCAUGUCCACUUCCCUCACUCCCAAAGAAAAUUGGGGGAGGGGGCCAUGGUGUUCUAGAGGAGAAGAAACUCCAAACUCAGGGUAAUUUUCAAAGUAUCAGACAUUUAAAUAUAUGACAAGAAUGGAAUUUGUAGCGACCGUUGUCCUAGAAACCCAAACAAUAUUUAUAACACACAUUUAUUAGCCAAUUAUUUAGAGCUUUAUUGUGUCCUUGACCUUCUAGGCUCCACAAAAACUAGAUGUAGCCUUGACUUCAGGUGCCUGAGCCAAAAGCCAUAGAGUACGACUUCAGGCCCGGAGGUUAGCUGGGGGGUGGUAAUCUAGCUAAUGACAUAGGCGUACAUACUAAGGUCAUGCAGGGCCUGGCUCUAAUCAUAUAACAAGGACUCCUUGGCAGCCUUCCAACAUGUAGAAUGGCCUUUGUUUCAAAGAAACAAAUGUCUUAUCAGGCAGCCAGUCUCAAAGACCAUGCUUGGGAUUCUACCAACAUAGAUGGUACCUCUAUGUGAGUUAGAAAAAGAGGCCCCUGUUUAGUGGAACCAGGAUCAGUGGCAUAUGAUUUGGCAAGCAGGUGGCACCUUUGUGCAAAAGGAAGGGGCAUCCCAAGACACACAGCUUCGGCAAGUGAGCACAAGCUGGAUUUCAGUCCCCACUCUCCCCUUGGUCAGAGGUCCUUGUGCAGUCCACAACCUAUACAACCUUACCCAGCAGUGCAGGCCGUGCUUUGGAAUCAUCUCCUGCCAUGUGGUACAUGUUGAAGAAAGAAAGCUAAAUAAAGGGAAUAUUUUGCCUCAAAAGACAUCAG